AUGAACGCUAGCUACAGGCUUAACACAUGCAAGUCGAGGGGCAGCAUUUUAGUUUGCUUGCAAACUGAAGAUGGCGACCGGCGCACGGGUGAGUAACACGUAUCCAACCUGCCGAUAACUCCGGAAUAGCCUUUCGAAAGAAAGAUUAAUAGCGGAUAGCAUACGAAUAUCGCAUGAUAUUUUUAUUAAAGAAUUUCGGUUAUCGAUGGGGAUGCGUUCCAUUAGUUUGUUGGCGGGGUAACGGCCCACCAAGACUACGAUGGAUAGGGGUUCUGAGAGGAAGGUCCCCCACAUUGGAACUGAGACACGGUCCAAACUCCUACGGGAGGCAGCAGUGAGGAAUAUUGGUCAAUGGGCGAGAGCCUGAACCAGCCAAGUAGCGUGAAGGAUGAAGGCUCUAUGGGUCGUAAACUUCUUUUAUAUGGGAAUAAAGUUUUCCACGUGUGGAAUUUUGUAUGUACCAUAUGAAUAAGGAUCGGCUAACUCCGUGCCAGCAGCCGCGGUAAUACGGAGGAUCCGAGCGUUAUCCGGAUUUAUUGGGUUUAAAGGGAGCGUAGGUGGAUUGUUAAGUCAGUUGUGAAAGUUUGCGGCUCAACCGUAAAAUUGCAGUUGAAACUGGCAGUCUUGAGUACAGUAGAGGUGGGCGGAAUUCGUGGUGUAGCGGUGAAAUGCUUAGAUAUCACGAAGAACUCCGAUUGCGAAGGCAGCUCACUAGACUGUCACUGACACUGAUGCUCGAAAGUGUGGGUAUCAAACAGGAUUAGAUACCCUGGUAGUCCACACAGUAAACGAUGAAUACUCGCUGUUUGCGAUAUACAGUAAGCGGCCAAGCGAAAGCAUUAAGUAUUCCACCUGGGGAGUACGCCGGCAACGGUGAAACUCAAAGGAAUUGACGGGGGCCCGCACAAGCGGAGGAACAUGUGGUUUAAUUCGAUGAUACGCGAGGAACCUUACCCGGGCUUAAAUUGCAACAGAAUAUAUUGGAAACAGUAUAGCCGUAAGGCUGUUGUGAAGGUGCUGCAUGGUUGUCGUCAGCUCGUGCCGUGAGGUGUCGGCUUAAGUGCCAUAACGAGCGCAACCCUUAUCUUUAGUUACUAACAGGUUAUGCUGAGGACUCUAGAGAGACUGCCGUCGUAAGAUGUGAGGAAGGUGGGGAUGACGUCAAAUCAGCACGGCCCUUACGUCCGGGGCUACACACGUGUUACAAUGGGGGGUACAGAAGGCGGCUACCUGGUGACAGGAUGCUAAUCCCAAAAACCUCUCUCAGUUCGGAUCGAAGUCUGCAACCCGACUUCGUGAAGCUGGAUUCGCUAGUAAUCGCGCAUCAGCCAUGGCGCGGUGAAUACGUUCCCGGGCCUUGUACACACCGCCCGUCAAGCCAUGAAAGCCGGGGGUACCUGAAGUACGUAACCGCAAGGAGCGUCCUAGGGUAAAACUGGUAAUUGGGGCU
rnacentral:rRNA from 1 species